GAAUUAGGAAGAUAAUAAGCAUCAAGACCUCUCCUCUGUUGUAUAUGGCGGCUGAUGUGAGCUCUCUCUUGAGGGUUUUGACUGGAUACAAGGAUGAUCGGACGGUUCCUAACGAGCUUGUUGCUGGAAAAUCGACGGCUCUGAUUACCAGGGAUUUGCUUGGUGGUGGUGGUGGUGAUGCUGAGGACGAGUCUCAAGAAUUGGACCUCGACUCGCAAGUGCCCACUGGCUGGGAAAAGCGCCUAGACUUGAAGGUAUUUUCUUGUUUCACCAGAAAAUAAGAAGAAAGGAAGUUUUCGCAGAUUUUUUUUAAUUUGAAUUUUUUUUCCUCUUCUUUGGAGAUUUCUUUCUUUUAUUGUUUUCUAUUUAAUUUUCUUAAUAAUUCGAUUCUUUGCUGUGUUUAAUCCUCUGUUUGGUUGCUGAAGAAACUGAAAGAAAGGAAAUCAAAGAGUCAAAUCGAUUGAUUUUCAUCCUAUUGGGGUUUGGGACAAAUUUUGGUAUUCAGGGAAAAAAGCCAAGUAGGCAGAGCUUUUCAUAGGUUACUUCACAUUUCUUUCAAUUCAUAAAAAUUGAAUUACUUUUCCAGCAGCCAAGCAGUUUCUAAAUUUAUUUGAAGGAGUUGAUUAUUUUUGUGGAGUGGGGGGGAGAGGAUUGUGGAGAAGAAAACGAAGUUUAAAAUAAGUACAUUUACAGUAUCAAUAGUAAUUAAUGGCAGGAGGAUUGGUUUUUCCCUUCAUUUAAUAGUGUUCCUCAAUACUCUGAAGCUAGAAAUUCCACCAACUCAUUCAUUACUAUCAUUAGUCAUUACCUCUAAAUUCCUUCAACCCUGUAGUUUCUGGUGAUUUGAAACAAUCCCUAACCUUCUUUAUUUAUAAUGAUGAUUGCAGUCCGGGAAGGUUUAUUUACAAAGAUGCAGUUCUUCACCUUCAUCAUCAUCAGAUCACAGGCAACAAACCAAUCAAACAUUGGCAAAGCUUCAAGAUUUAAAUAUCCCGCAAUCACCUUCCAAGAUCACACUGAAUCUUUUUGAUGAAAGUAACUUGGAACUGAAGUUAGUCUCAUCAUCAUCAUCAACCAAAUAUCAAAGUGUGUGCACUCUAGAUAAAGUGAAGUCUGCACUUGAAAGAGCAGAGAAAGAACCCAUUAGAAAGCGAUCAUCGCUGUGGAAAUCACCAUUGUCACCUUCAUAUUCUUCAUCAUCGUCUUCCAUUAGGGAGAUUCCAGAAGAAGAAAACGAACAGAACCCAGUAUCUGCACCAGUGGCAGCAGGUUGCCCAGGCUGCUUAUCUUAUGUUUUGAUAUUGAAAAAUAAUCCAAAAUGUCCCAGGUGCAAUUCGGUUGUUCCAGUUCCAAUAGUAAAGAAGCCUAGGAUAGAUCUCAACAUUCCAAUAUGAUAAAUCAGAGAGAUUUGAUGUUUUUGUGAUUUUGUACAUGAUAUAUGGAAUUAAGGGUUUCAGAGAAUAGAAUUGUAGGCAAAAAAG
rnacentral:misc_RNA from 1 species